rnacentral:rRNA from 1 species
CGCAAGCCUGACGGAGCAAGACCGCGUGCGGGAUGACGGCCUAAUGGUUGUAAACCGCUUUUCUCUGGGAAGAUGAUGACGGUACCAGAGGAAUCAGCCUCGGCUAACUCCGUGCCAGCAGCCGCGGUAAUACGGAGGAGGCAAGCGUUAUCCGGAAUUAUUGGGCGUAAAGCGUCCGUAGGUGGUUAUUCAAGUCUGCUGUCAAAGCGUGGGGCUUAACUCCAUAGAGGCAGUGGAAACUGGAUGACUUGAGUGCGGUAGGGGUCGAGGGAAUUCCCAGUGUAGCGGUGAAAUGCGUAGAUAUUGGGAAGAACACCAGUGGCGAAAGCGCUCGACUGGGCCUGCAAUGACACUGAGGGACGAAAGCUAGGGGAGCG